GAGGUGAAAUUCUUGGAUCGUCGCAAGACGGACAGAAGCGAAAGCAUUUGCCAAAAAUGUUUUCAUUAAUCAAGAACGAAAGUUAGAGGUUCGAAGGCGAUCAGAUACCGCCCUAGUUCUAACCAUAAACGAUGCCAGCCAGCGAUCCGCCGAAGUUCCUCCGAUGACUCGGCGGGCAGCUUCCGGGAAACCAAAGCUUUUGGGUUCCGGGGGAAGUAUGGUUGCAAAGCUGAAACUUA
rnacentral:rRNA from 1 species